rnacentral:lncRNA from 1 species
UUCGAUAAGGUUGUUGGGCUAAUGUUGGCCAAUGGUCCAGUUGUUAUAAGUUGUUACCAAGUCGUUAUGGGCCAAGGGGUGUAUAUAAUGGAUGUGAGAGAAGGAAGACUUCAGUUGAUCUAGAUAUUUCUUAGGGUUUUCUCUGGAUUCUCUCCGUAUUUUGCUUUGAUCAUCGGUGAUCUGAGUUGUUGGUGUGGCGAUCUGUUCAUCAAGCUAUCUUCAAGCUGUUGAAGAGUUUUGUUGGUUUUGUAGAUCUCUGUGUAGAGAUCAUUGUUGUAUUUGAGAUCGUGUUGAUCUCAGUUUAUGUUCUUUGUAUUUUGUUUGUAUUUCUUCUUUCAUAUUCAACAGAUUGUUCAAUCUGUUGAAUCUGUACUUCGUACUUCAUAGAUCUCAGAUAUUUGAGAUCUAGGGUUUUGGUUGGGUACUUUUUUGGUUUGGGUUAAUAAUAGAUUUUGUCACGUU